CCUGCAAACCCCCUAGCUCCACCUCUCUUGGUCACCUCCCUACCUCUCCUGGUUGGGAGGGCAGCCUAGCACAGUGGUUACAGGCACCGACGCUAGUGCCUGCACACCUGGUUUCAAAUUUCUCUUGUCAUUUGCCAAAUGUGCGACCCCAGUCAGGUUAUUUAACUCAGUUUCCCAAUCUCUAAAACAGGAUGGAUGGUAAUAGUACCUACUUCAGAGGGUUAUUGUGAAGAUAAAAUGAAGGAUCAUGGAUGAAGCUGCUAUAAGUUGAGGUCAACUACAAGGUUAGAGGGCACAGCCUGCACACGAGACCGCCCUUGCUUCUGACACCACCUGCAAGUUCCGGAGGUGCCCCAAACUGCCUUCAGCGAAGGAGUUCUGUUUGGGCAAACCCCUGGAAUGAAGAUCUUUUAAGGAGAAUGAAAGAGGGGAUGGAAAAUGCAGAGAAGGCAGAGUCUGAAAUUCUGGAGCUGCAGUUGAAUAACCAGAAGACCCUAGCCAAGUCACUUCACCUCUCUGAGCCUCAGUUUCCUCAUCUGUAAAAUGGGCGUGAGGUUCUCUUACAGGCAUUUGCUGGACAUCUAUAUGCCAGAUCUUGCACUUGGCCCUAGGAAUACAAGAGUGAUCAAGAUGCUCAAAGCCUAAUAAGAGAGAAAGAGGGACAACGCAAUCCACUGUGCUGCCUGUGGUGACCAGGGAUGGCGCAGGAGUUUCCUCAGAGGACAGAAAGACGAGAUGGCACUAGCACCUGUCUGCCGUCUUGCCUCUGGCCUCUCCUUCAUGGCAUCCAUCUCGGGAUCUCCAGCACCAGUCACAGAGCCUGGCCA
rnacentral:lncRNA from 1 species